rnacentral:rRNA from 1 species
AUGGCGGCGGCGACGAGGAUCCUGCGCCCGGCGGGGCUUCCAGUUCCAGGGGAGGGGCUUCGCCGGCUCGUCCACACCCGCCAGAAUUCCGCACCCGCCCGUGGGUCACAAAUCCAGCAGAAGAAAAAGGAGCUGUACGCGGCUUCCCAGCCACACUGGCGCCCGGUAACUACAGCCAAAAAGGUGAUCAAGUGGACUGCGAUCACUCUUGGUGCGGUCGCUGUGGGUGCUCUUGCCACUGCAGAUGGGCAGGACGAUUGGCCUGAGUGUCAUGGGUGUGGCGCAUGUGUUCCCAAGAAGUGCAACCAGUGCGGGUGGAACCUCCCGCGUCCGAGCGCUGAAGCAAUCCAGGCUGCCUCAGAGUGUGGCCAAGCAAGUGGAGCAGCGCAGAAUCAAAAGGAAACUGCAGAAGUGAAGUGA